CUGCAUAUUUAGGGCUGUUGGUCUGCAGCGCCCAGCUGAGCGGGCUGGAGGCUUACACGCGGGACCUGAAUUGCAGGGGAGUAAAUAAUCCACGCUUUAAACGCAUCCUCUGCCAGGGCUCCAGUUGGGCCCUUUUGCUCUAAGCACAUCCCAGGAACUUCUGAUUCCCCCAGCAUGCGUGUAUCCCUAAGGCAGCCGAGCGGCGGAGUUUCGGGGCUCCCUCCCUCCUUUUGCCCUCCACGAGAGAGCUUUGCUGGAAACGCCAGUGUGCCUGAAAGGAGCUGCGGGAGGGCGUGCGAAACGGCGAAGUAUAUGUGAAGGUCAGACGGGCGAUCUUCCUCUGCAGCUCAAGUGGGAAGGAGCAACUUUCAGUGCUGUGCUCUUAGCGGUUUCCUGCCUUUUAAAGCGAACUUGUUCUACAGUGUUAUUAAAAAAAAAAAAUCUGGUUCAGUAGUUAUGCCUUCAAAUUAAGUUGCUUCUUGGUCCUCAUUGGGAAAAGCAGACAUGUGUCCUCAA